ACGGUAGUAGUUCAGUGGCAGAACUCGGGCCUGUGGCGCCCGCGGCAGGGGUUCGAUUCCCCUCUACCGUC
rnacentral:tRNA from 1 species